CCCCGCCGCGCGCUCCGCCCCCAACUUCUCAUUCACACUUUCCCCCCACCCCCCUCCCUUCUAAGAAGGCUGAUUUCUGGCAGAGGCGGGGGCGCCGCUUCGGGAGAGCGGGCAGUUCUAGGAGGCCGACCUGGAGAGCCUCCCGGUUCCCCUUCCCCUUUUCCCGGACCCCGCGGGGACACCCCCUCGCCGCCACCCGGGCCUCCCCGAGGGCCCAACUGCGGGUCAGGCGGCCCGGGCCAGCCGAAAGGGAAGUGGGGCUACCCCACAGCCAGGCAGCGGGGCUGGGGUCAGACCCGGGAGCCGGAGGUUGGAGACGUGCGACAGUCACCUGCGGGCAGAUUCCAGAGGGGAGACCCAGGGCUGCAGGGGACGCCCCUUCGUGGCAGCUACCCAGCCUCGGCCCACUGCCAGUGUUACGUGGCUGCAUGACCAUACACUUCUGGGUAGAGCCCAGUGGAAGACAAAGAAGACUCAAGGAAUAGCCCUUGAGGGCUCAGGAGCUAUACAGAUGGGAUAGAGGGUGUGAGUGCUGGGAAGCCCCAUCCAUGGCUCGCUGGAGAUUAGAGGCCUGUUAAUCUGAAGACAAAGGAAUGAAGACGAAAACGUUUCUGAAAAUAUCCUGAACCAACUUUGAAGGCAGAGAAGUGGGCUAGAAGAAGUGGGGUUGGAGCCUCCACCAAGGACAAGAAGGGUCUGCAGGCAUUGAGGCAGCAACUCAGCCUGACCUCUGCCUCUCCCAAGCUAAAGGGCAAGGAAGGCUAUGGACUUUGGGGCAUUUAUUUUGAGUCUCUUUCC
rnacentral:lncRNA from 1 species